AUUGAACGCUGGCGGCAGGCCUAACACAUGCAAGUCGAGCGAGCGGCGGACGGGUGAGUAAAGUCUGGGAAACUGCCUGAUGGAGGGGGAUAACUACUGGAAACGGUAGCUAAUACCGCAUACCAUCAGAUGUGCCCAGAUGGGAGUAGCGAGUAGGUGGGGUAACGGCUCACCUAGGCGACGAUCCGUAGCUGGGCUGAGAGGAUGACCAGCCACCAUGUAACUGAGAGACGGUCCAGACUCCUACGGAAGGCAGCAGUGGGGAAUAGUGCACGAUGGGCGCAAGCCUGAUGCAGCCAUGCCGCGUGUGUGAAUAAGGCCUUCGGGUUGUAAAGCACUUUCAGCGGGGAGGCGUUACCCGCAGAAGAAGCACCGGCUAACUCCGUGCCAGCAGCCGCGGUAAUUC
rnacentral:rRNA from 1 species